GAAUCGGAGCUGCAGCUACUGGCCUACACCACAGCCAUAGCAAUGUGAGAUCCAAGCUGUGUCUACGACCUGCACCACAGCUCACUGCAACACCAGAUCCUUAACCCACUGAGCGAGGCCAGGCAUGAACCCAUGUCCUCCUGGAUACUAGUCGGGUUCUUCACCCUCUGAGCCACAAGAGAACGUACAGGAUUUAUUUUAAAAUACCAUAUUUUAAAACUAAAAUCAAAGUGUAGCAUAUUUUACAGCUAAAUUAAUAUUCAAUCUUUCACUGGCCUCUUAUUUAAGGGUGAAAUUUCCAGUAAAGCUGAUGCUUCAAUCCCUUCUGUAGAAGAACAGCCUCAUUCUUUUUAAAGACCAUUCAUUUGAACAUUGUAUGGGCCACCUUCUAUUUUAAGGCAUCUUGCUAUGCAUGUGGAUACAGGCUGAAGGCUAUGGGGUGAAAUAGCUAUUUUUGCUUCCUUAGAACCUAACCAACCCUGAGUCCACAUGUUUCAAAGGACCGAAAAACAUCAUGAAUGGUUUUGCUGGGAAAUGUUUGCAUUUUCUCAACUUGCCAGUUAGAAUUUACUGUUGUCCAGAGUCAUUCAGUAUUUUUCCAAAGUAAUUUAAAUGUAAACUAGAAUGAUAUGCGAUAUGGAAUAUAGUGCAGUGAAAGAACUCAGAGUCCUGAAGUUUAUUUCCUGGGGAGACUAGUGAGAAAUGACUAGAUUGUAAGUCUUUCAACCAGAAAAUAAAGGAUUUCAGAAUGAUGAGGAAAGUUUGAAGGAAAUGACACAGGGUCCACAGAUAUCUCACAUGGCACUAAAUGACUCAUAAAAUGCCGUAUUUUUUACAUAAUAUGGGAAGUGUGCCAUGCCCGUACAUCUUACCAUUGAGUGUGGUACAGUACUUUGAUCUUCAACAAUAUACAUUUGUGGCAUAAUAGCUCUAAUAGGACUAUUCCGCUAUUUUACGCGGCAAUAAUCCAGUCCUCUCUCAUCAGGAUAAACUGUGAGGACAAAUCCUUUCAAAAUCAGAAUUAGUUCCUUGUAGAAGAGUGAGGCUACAAUUAUCCCUUAAAUAGGAGCAGCUGCAACAUGGUAUCGGCCUGGAGUGUGGCAGUGAAGUGUUUUUCCAAUGUAAUUAAACGGAUUUUUUUUUUUAAAUGCAAACUAAUGUACUAUAAAAAGUUAACUGCAAGGUGAGUAGGUGUAGAAUUGCUGAGAUGAAAGGAACAGGCAUUUUGCUUACCUGAGUUCAUAGUCCUGCCUUGGUAAAUGAUGUUUUGGUGAAAAUAGAUAAUCAAGGCCUAUACUUUCCAGUGAAGUCUGCUCGAAGGGAAACCAGACCAGUACAAAGGAAAGAUAAUUCUGGUUCCCUUGCACACUCUGGGUCUUAUUUUCAAAUGUGUUCGUAGCUACAUUUUGUUAGUGUCGCUUUUCAAAAAGAUAUGAUGAGUCAACAGCAACACUUCAAUUUAAACAAGAAAAGUAGCACUUGGGUGGAAAAAUAGAAAUAUAACUUAUAGGAUUUACACUAGUCAGCACCUACCUCCACGGUGAGGCAGAGGGAAGGGCGCUUCCUUUUUCACCAUAAAAAAGAUUAAAGGGCUGGAAAAUAAGACCUUUAAGAAAGAUUAAAGGACCAGGGAGGGUCAUAUUGAGAGGCAAUGUAAUAUCUUCGAAUUGCAUAUCUCAAGAGUUCUUUCAUAAACAACCAGAGAACAUCUCAACUGAAGAUAUGACAUGGAGAAUUGGAUGUAAUUCUAGAGCACUGAGGCUUUAGUCACGCAUGAAAAGAAUUUCCCUCAGUGAUCUUGAAUGUAUUGCUCUCCUUAGGACUGAUUUUAAAAUCUCAGCACACAAUGAAAGUUUCUUGAGCCACCCAAGCACCCACCCUGCACACCCUUCCUCUUCUUGAAAUACACCUUCCCCUAAAAGAUCCAGUGGGCAGAGGGUUUGAAUGUAGCUCUAAUUAUCUAAAGGGGUUCUGUGCUCAGAAAUUAUGGACAGGAUAAAUAAAAUUCAGCCAGACAGUGAGCCAAGGCAUCUCUUGUAGCUCUUUGAGAUCUAAAAAAUGGUUUCUUUUACAUUAGUUCUCAUUCCUGAGUAUUUUCGAGGGCAUCGGUUACAAAGAGAAACAGCAAAAUCUGAUUUUGCAGGCAACACUUCAGAUAUGAUAGAAAACUAGGAAUUCAAAUAUUUAAUAUAUUUUUAGAAGUUUACUUUUGUGAAAGAAUACUCUCCGUGAUGGAGAUGGCCUUCUGGAAUGACCUUGGAGUCAAAGGUGAAAGAAAAGGAAUCCUCCUCUUCGUUAUACUGUACUGCAAUGCCUAGCUUUUGAUUCACUAAUCAAAAAUCACAUGUUUUUAAGACAGCAGGAGACCCUGUGGGUCCCAUCGGGGCUGAUAGUUGAUGCCGAAGCCCCUUUCCUCCCAUGAAAUCUUCCAGGGUUGAUGAGGUAAGUGACUCUUUCCUCUCAACUGGUCCCCUUUCCUGUGUAGUUCUUGAUAAAGCACUCACUGCUUCCUUCCACUGUAAAGCUGCUUACACUUGAUCUUUAUGUAAUGAAGUUGCUGUCUAUACAUGUAUUGCUUUCGUGUUUCCACUUUGAUUCUAAUGGUAUUCCAGUACGUCUGUGUUGGAUGCUGAUUAUAAGCUCCUGGAGGGAAGGGAUAGAAUCUCUUUAAAUAGAAUUGAUGGCCCUCAUAUACCCAUUUCCUAAAAAGUGGUCUUUCCAAGAAAACUCAGCAUGUUUUUGCUUGUUCUCAAGAAAGAUUUAAAUUUAGGAAGCUGUUGGUAAAGAUUUGUAUUUGUAUUUGUGCCAUAAUAAGUAAACACUUCCACCUUGUUAAGACAAGUUGGGAAGAGUUACAGUAGUAUUAUAUUCUCUAUGUUGCCUCUUCUGUAUCACUUUUAAUUAAGGAGACUAUUCAGCCCCCUCUAUCUGUAAGGUGCCCUACAGAACAUUACAGACUGGGGCUCCUUCUUUCCUUCCUCCACUCCUUGACCGCUUUACCCAUUAAUGUUUUUGAUGCAGCCUCACUUAUAACCUCCAGAAUAGAAAUUCGCCAGAGAAUGAAUGAAGAAAACAGCAUUUAAACAGAGAGAGGAGCAUAAACAGAGUCAAAGAGGCCAUCAAGGAAAAAGUUUAGGAACAAUCAGAAUAAGCAACUGGGCAUUUAUUGUAGUUUUUCAGGUGCCUGGUGCGGGGAGGAUUAGGUUGAGGGAUGGGGGCAGUAAAGGGAUUCAGGGAGGAAAUCAGGUCCCUAAAUUUGCCUAAGAGCCAGACCUUCAUCUUGAAGAGAAUGAGGAGUCUUGAAGGGCUUUUAUACAGGAACUGAUUUUGAUGUAUUUGUGUCGUAAUAUUUUAUAAUAGAUAAUAUAUAUAUAUAAUAUAAUAUUUUAUGGACAAUGAGAUUUUCAUAGACUAUUUCCAUUACAGUAAGGAUUCCAUAAGCAAUCGUCAGAGUUUGUUACUGAAAGAGUAACCAGGUACACCUUUUCCUGAGAUUUUGUUAAUUAAUCUGCCAUUUUAGGAGCUGUGGUUUUACAAAUAUACUUGGAAAAUAUUAAACCAUACCUUGUGCCCCUCGGUGAUCUGCCUGUCUCUCCAGGCUCAUCUUUUCCUGACCUUACAAUCUGCCUUCCCUUACACCCAAUCCCCAAAUCAUAUAUUACAGCAAAUACCAAACUGCUUCGCUAGGACUGUAGUCCCUUAAUCUCAGUUCUGAACCUGAAAAAGUUCUGAAAACUUGAAGUUGUUUUAUGACACAUCUGGCAGCAAAAUCUAGAGGCAACAUCUAAUCUAAACUGAAAAGACUCUCCACAGAAUUUUUUGAUCCUACUUGGUGUUUAUUCCAUAAAUAUUGCUGCAGAUCGUAGUGUGUUUGGGGUGCUAUGCCAAAUAUCGCAUCCGGGGGGCUUAUAUAAUAUAUAGUAUAGGCUUUCAAAAAUUCUAAGAUUGUGAAUUUCAAAACUCAUUUGGCCUGUAUGGUCUCAGAUAAGGGAUGAUGGAAUCAACAUUAGCAGUAACUUAAAGUCUUUUUCUUUCUUUGUGAAGCAAAUUUAUUGAGGAAUAAUCAACCUACAACAAAAUCUACUAAUUUUAAAUGUAUGAUUUAAUUAUUUUUGAGAAAUAAAUGUGUGCAUUUAUGAACCAUCCUAAUCAUCUCCAUCAGUUCAAAUAUUUCCUUUGGCCCUGUUGCAAGAAAUCCUUUCGCUCAACCCCUAGUGCCCCAAAGCACUUGACCUGAUUUUUGUCACUUGAGUUUUGUUUUUUCCAAAAUGUCAUAUAAAUGGAAUCUUUUACUAUGUGGGUCUUUUUAGUGUGAUUUCUUUCUUUUAGCAUAAUGUGUUUGAAAUUCAUCCACAUUGUCAUUUUUUUUUUUUUUUUUUAAGAGCCACAGUUGUGGCACAUAGAAGUUCCCAGGCUAGGGGUCAAAUUGGAGUUACAGUUGUCGGCCUAUAGCACAGCCAGAGCAAUUCCAGAUCCAAGCUGCAUCUGCUACUUGUACCACAGCUCAUGGCUAUGCCGGAUCCUGAGCAAGGUCAGGCAUCAAACCUGCAUUCUCAUGGAUGUUUGUUGGGUUUGUUUCUGCUGAGCCACAACAGGAACUUCCCACAUUGUCACAUUUAUUUAUAGCCUGCUCCUUUUUAUUGUUGAGUAAUAUUCCAUUAUAAAUAUGACACAAUUUUGUUGACCCAUUCAUUGGUGAUGGGCAUGAGGGUUUCUAGAAGUUCUAAGUACUACAAAUAAAGUUGCUAAAAAAAUUCAAGUGUAAGUACUUAUAUGGACAUAUGUUUCCAUUUCUUUGGGGUAAAGCAAUGAAAGUCUAGGAGUAACUGCUUAAUUUAAUGACAAAGGCAUGUUUAAAUUUAUAAGAAACUGCCAAACUGAUUUCAGAAGUGACUUAACCUUUUUUCAUACCUACUAGGAGUGUAUAUGUGAGAUUUGAGUGUCCUAAAUCCUUGCCAACACUUGGCACUAUCAGUCUCUCUAAGUUUAGCCAUUGCAGUGGGUUUGCAAUCAUAUUUUAUGUAAGUUUUGCUAAUAAUUAAUGAUGUUGAGCAUUCUUUCAUAUGUUUGUCACUAGUAUAUCUUUUUUGAUGAAGAGUCUGCUAAAAUCUUUUGCCUUUGUAAGACUGGUUAUUUUCCACUUGUUAUUGAGUUGUAUGAGUUCUUUAUAUGUUUUGGAUAUAAGUUCUUUAUCAGAAUCUACAAAAAAAGCUACUGAAACUCAGAAGUGAGUUUAGCGAGGUUGUAGGAUACAACAUGAAAAGGUUGAGCUUAGCAAGGUUGUAGGAGUCAAUAUGAAAACGUAAUUCUAUUUCUAUAUGUGAGCAACAAACCACUGGAAAUUGAAAAAAUAAUUUAUAGUCACAUCAAAAAGAUGAAAUACUUAGACAUAAAUUCCACCAAACAUAGGCAAAACCUGUGCACUAAAAUUUGUAAAACAAUGCUGAGAGAAAUGAAAGCAGACCUAAACAAAUAUAGAGCUGUACUAUCUUCAUAGUAUGAAGACCUUCAUGUAAUUAAGAUAUCAUUUUGCCCCAAAUGAUCUAUAGGUUUAAUGAAAUCCCAGUAGAAAUCCUAGGAUUUUUUAAAUUGAGAUUAAUAAGCUUAUUUCAAACUUUUUUAUAGAGAUGCAAAGGAACAAGACAAUUUUGAAAAAGAAUAAAGUUGAAAGAAUUACAUUAUCUUAAGACCUUCUCUACAGUAAUGAAGACCACAUGAUAGUGGUCUGGAAAUAGACCCAGAAAAACAUGGUCAGUUGAUUUUCGACAAAGGUGUCAAGGUUCUUUAAUGGGAAAGUGAUAGUUUUUUCAACAACUUCUGCUGAAACAACUUGAUAUCCAUAGGCAAAAGAUAAACUCUUACUUCACACCACAGACAAAAGUUAACUCUAAACAGAGCCCAGACUUAAAACAUAAGAGCUAAAAACUAUUAAAAAAUAUAAGAAAAUAGAGGAUAAAACUGUGGCUAGAAUUAAACAAAGCUUCCUUAGGACACAAAGUAUUAUUUGAUAAAUUGAGUUUUAGAAAAAAUAAAUACUUGUCUCUUAGAAGACACUGUUGACAAACUGAAAAUGCAUUCCACAGGCUGUGAGAAAAUGACGAAUGACUUGUAACGCUCAUGUUUUUAAUACUUCUCUGCCAUUGUUCUCCCUGCUGUUUCCUUUGCCUGGCAUCCCCUUACGCUUGGUCUGUGCAUGAAGAGCUCCUCUUUCUCUUUUAGACUCAGGUCAAGUAUCAGGUGUUAGCUCCUUUUUAUGCAUUGUUGGGUUCCUGGUAUAAAGAGUGCUCACCUUUUUCAUAGUUCAACCCCCCUUCUUCAGCCAAAACAGCUUUUGACAUUGCCUCCCCUUCCUAAUGUAGCUCUAUCUCCUUCCACCCAAUUUUAUUAAACUUCUUGAAAUUAUUCCCUAUCUCUUCUUCUUCACCCCACCCAUUUCUUCGUCAAUCCGCAACAACCUGGGUUUCUGCUCCUGAAAAAUUUCCACUGAAACUGUGCUCUUUGAGAUUUUUUUGAAUUUAUACCUGUCCAUUUCACACCUCUUUAUUCCUCACCUUGCAUGACUUCCUUGGAACUUUAAAAAAAAAUGGUCCCCUGAUUUCCCAUCAUGGCUCAGUAGUUAACGAACCUGACUAGUAUCCAGGAGGACGUGGAUUUGAUCCCUGGCCUCACUCAGUGGGUUAGGGAUCUGGCGUUGCCAUGAGCUGUGGUAUAGGUCACAGACAUGGCUCAGAUCCCUGCGUUGCUGUGGCUGUGGUGUAGACAGUCAGCUGUAGCUCUGAUUCGACCCCUAGCCUGUGAACCUCCAUAUGCCAUGGGUGUGGCCCUAAAGAUACAAAAAGACAAAAAAAAAAGGUCCCCAUUAUAUUGUGAAGCCUGUUAGCUAAAGGAUCCUGCCAUAUUUGUCUUUGGGAAUAGUGAGCUGGUGAGUAUGGCAUGGAGGAAAAAAACAGGGAGAGGAAGCAGCAGGACAAGAAACAGAGAAGUAAGAGAAAACAAGGAAAUAGAGAGUCACUGAGUCCAAGGAGGAGAGUAUUCCAGGAGGGAGCAGCAGAAGUUAGAUCAUCCCCUCACUCACCUGCUCACCUAUUCAUCAAGUACCACUUGAGUGACCCCUGGAUGCCAGACAGUGCUAGGCUCCAAGUCUCCAAAAGCCUUUCUCCACCCCCUCCUGGAUGGUCUUCUGCUUUUAUAGCUUCACCUGCAACCUAUUUUCCAAUGUAUCUCUAAAUAUAUCCCUUUCCUAUUUUCUGUGUCCCAGAUACCAAUGUCCAUCUAUCCUCUAGGUAUCUCUGCCUGUAUUUCUUCAGUCAUUCAAACUCAGCAUGUACCUAUAGAUCUUGAAGAACAUGACACAUAUAUAAAUCAUUUCCUCCUGGAAUACAUAUCUCAUUUAAUAGUUAUACUUAAUGCUCAUGGUUAACCACUCCUGGUUUCUUCUUUCUCCUCUGGACCAUUGCUCUAGCCUUCUUCUCACUGGGUCGCCUUACCUACAAUUUCUUAUCUAUAUUCCUGCCAUGAUUAUCAACCUAAAAGACAGCUUGAGCACAUCAUUUCCUUGAUACUCAAACACACCAAACCAUUCACUGUCUUGCAAAUAGCCACGUAUGUCUGCUUUAUAUUCUAGCUUUGUACCUACUGCUCCCUUGGUCUAGAAAGAAUGUCCCCAGUAUCCCAUUACCACAUCACCUCCAUGACCCAAAUCAAAUAUUACCUCCUUAAAAUACCACCUUAAAGCCUCAUUAAGCCCCACUUUCCCUCCCCAGGCACGCUGUGUAUGCCUUCAUUCCUGUGUUGUAAUGAUUUGUUAUAAGCUUUUUUUUCCCGUCUGUUCUAGAUUACAUCUCAGUCUUUGUACUUCUAACAUGUGGUAGAGAAACAAGCACAAAAAGCUUGUUUUGAAAGGAAAUUUUUUUUUCUGAUUUUGAUGUGACCAGCUUCGAUUAGGUGUUAUUUGGGAGUAGUGUCAUAUAUUUUAUGGUGAAUAACAGGGGUUUAAAAAAAGAUUUAGCCACUUCUCUAGCAGUGGU
rnacentral:lncRNA from 1 species